GGGCCGCGGUGCCCGCACUCAGCCGUGCCCUAGCAGCGGGAACAGUACUGCAGUGAGCUAUAGGACUUCUGGAGUAUUGCUUCUGCUGCCAGGGUAAGUCUGGGAUUUCUGCACGGGUUCACC
rnacentral:pre_miRNA from 14 species